GGCGGCGUGCUUAACACAUGCAAGUCGAACGAGNUCCAACCUUCGGGUGAAGACCGAGUGGCGAACGGGUGAGUAACACGUGGGGAACCUGCCCUUCUCUCUGGGAUAACUCCGGGAAACCGGAGCUAAUACCGGAUACUCCUUGCGGACCGCAUGGUCUGCUCGGGAAAGCUCCGGCGGAGAAGGAUGGCCCCGCGGCCCAUUAGCUUGUUGGUGGGGUAACGGCCCACCAAGGCGACGAUGGGUAGCCGAGCUGAGAGGCUGAUCGGCCACACUGGGACUGAGACACGGCCCAGACUCCUACGGGAGGCAGCAGUGGGGAAUCUUGCGCAAUGGGCGAAAGCCUGACGCAGCAACGCCGCGUGCGGGAUGAAGGCUCUCGGGUCGUAAACCGCUUUCAGCAGGGAUGAAAAUGACAGUACCUGCAGAAGAAGCCCCGGCUAAAUACGUGCCAGCAGCCGCGGUAAUACGUAUGGGGCAAGCGUUAUCCGGAUUCAUUGGGCGUAAAGCGCGCGUAGGCGGCUUGUUAAGUCAGGCGUGAAAUCCGGGGGCUCAACCCGCGGCUUGCGUCUGAAACUGGCAGGCUUGAGUCUGGUAGAGGAAAGUGGAAUUCCUGGUGUAGCGGUGAAAUGCGCAGAUAUCAGGAGGAACACCAGUGGCGAAGGCGGCUUUCUGGGCCACGACUGACGCUGAGGCGCGAAAGCUAGGGGAGCGAACAGGAUUAGAUACCCUGGUAGUCCUAGCCGUAAACGAUGGGCACUAGGUGUGGGGGGUCAUCGACUCCCUCCGUGCCGAAGCUAACGCAUUAAGUGCCCCGCCUGGGGAGUACGGCCGCAAGGCUA
rnacentral:rRNA from 1 species